rnacentral:rRNA from 1 species
GUCUUUUUGUAAUUUAUAUAAAGUCUAACCUGCCCAUUGAUUAAUUUAAAAGGCUGCGGUAUUUUGACCGUACAAAGGUAGCAUAAUCAUUAGUUUUUUAAUUGAAAACUGGUAUGAAUGGUUGAAUGAAAAAUUAACUUUUUUAGAUAAAAUAUUGAAUUUUACUUUUUAAUUAAAAGGUUAAAAUAAAUUUAAAAGACGAGAAGACCCUAUAGAGUUUUAUAAUUUAUUAUAUAUUUUUAAAAAAGAUUAAAUAAAUUUUUAUAAAAUAAAUUAUUUUGUUGGGGUGAUAUUAGAAUUUAAAUAACUUUUAAAAAUUAUACCAUUAAUAUAUGAAUAAAUGAUCCAUUAUUAAUGAUUAAAAAUUUAAAUUACCUUAGGGAUAACAGCGUAAUUUUUUUUUAAGUUCUUAUUAAUAAAAAAUUUUGCGACCUCGAUGUUGGAUUAAGAUUUAAUUUUAGGUGCAGCAGUUUAAAUUUUAAGUCUGUUCGACUUUUAAAUUCUU